UACAGAGGGGGCAAGCGUUGUUCGGAAUUACUGGGCGUAAAGGGCGCGUAGGCGGCCUGUUAAGUCGAACGUGAAAUCCCCGGGCUCAACCCGGGAACUGCGUCCGAUACUGGCAGGCUUGAAUCCGGGAGAGGGAUGCGGAAUUCCAGGUGUAGCGGUGAAAUGCGUAGAUAUCUGGAGGAACACCGGUGGCGAAGGCGGCAUCCUGGACCGGCAUUGACGCUGAGGCGCGACAGCGUGGGGAGCAAACAGG
rnacentral:rRNA from 1 species